UUUCUAGUAGCGCGAGAGUGCUAUUUUACGCCGGCGCUCGUUGGGCCUUAGCCCCUUAGCUGCUUCAGCAACUGCAUCAGAAGGCGUUGCUACCGGUGGAGCAGGCGUUCCAUGUCACUGUAACGCCCGUAAAAAUUACCAAUUUAAAUCACCUAUUAAAAAUGCAUUCCAAAUUUUUUUUUUCCGACCGUUGAGCCCCAUCAAAACCCCUCUUUCCCAUCGAACCCGCUGUUCCGGCCCCCGACGUCGUCAACCCUCGUUUUCCGUUCCCCGUAUUUUUCGCCUCGUGCCCAUCAAAUCCAUCACGCGUGCCGGUCAAAUCCCGCAAUUCCCACCAUCUCCUUCCUUUUCUUUCCCCUCCUUUUUCUUUCUUCUUUUUCCCUUCUCCUUCUUCCUUCUCCUUCUUCC
rnacentral:lncRNA from 1 species